GACGUUACAAUGACAAACGACAUCGUGAUGACACAAAUGUGGAUUGAUCUUGGUUUGGGCUGCAAUCGACCCUUUCAGGGAUGGCAUUAACAAAUUUAGAUAUCGAAAAGUUCAGUGGUAUCAAAGAUUUCAGAUUGUAGUAGUUCCGGAUAAAGCAGAGUGUUUAAAGCAAGGUUGGUCGCAAAGGGUGACAGUCAAGUGGAGGGAGUUAAUUUUCUCGAUGUUUUCUAUCUUGUUGUGAAGCACGUCUGUUCGUGUAUCAGUGGCCCUAGUUGCAUUAUACAACCUUGAUUUGAAGACUAGGAGUCUUUCGAUUUCCAAGUUCAAGAAUGGUUUGGGUUUCGUUAACAUUCUUCAAAGAUCGAGUUCGGCUCGUGACGAGGCAUGGAGAAGAAGGUAUAGUAAAUACGAGUCAAGGUGGAUAUUUGUGAGUUGUACCUCGUAUUUUCGGUCGAAUAGACAGUGACAUCAUGACGAGAAGCCUCUCGACGUUGAGAUGAUGGAAGACGUCGUAACGACACAAAUGGAGACGUUGCAACGUGGCAACUUGUUCCCCACAUAAAUCGGGUUUCUUCUCCAAUUAAACUAUGUUAUCUUUUUCCAAUUAAACUCUAAUUACUUCAUGGAUAUUUUAGUCUGAUUAGACGACUAAUCUUUACCUAUAAAAGCGGUCAUUGUAUCCCUGUUUAAAAGGCAAAUUAAGAGGCAAUAAAAUAUGUAGAAGUAUAGGGCCUUUCUUUUGGGGGCAACAAGAUGUAGUCGUAGAUAAGUUUUGGUGAGAGUUUUCGUGGUAACUAUGGAGAAAAUUUUGUAUCCCUUUUGAAAGGACUCUAUGAAAGUAAAGGUUUUGUUUUUGAGUUUGCUCUAUGAAAGUUAGGGCUUUAUUUUUGGGGCUUUAGGUUUAUACGUUUAGUACAUUUAAGUUUAUGUUCUCCAUAUUGUACUCUCAUUUGUUUACUUUUUUAGUGAAAAGUUGAAACCUUCUUUAAUCGUGGUUUUUAUCCUUUUCAAAGAA